AAAACGGCUCUUUUCAGAGCCACCAUAUUCACAAAAGAAUAUAA
rnacentral:ncRNA from 1 species